rnacentral:rRNA from 1 species
UACGGAGGGGGCUAGCGUUGUUCGGAAUUACUGGGCGUAAAGGGCGCGUAGGCGGUCAGGUCAGUCCCGUGUGAAAUCCCUCGGCUCAACUGAGGAACUGCACGGGAAACUACCUGGCUUGAGUUCGGGAGAGGGAAGCGGAAUUCCGGGUGUAGCGGUGAAAUGCGUAGAUAUCCGGAGGAACACCGGUGGCGAAGGCGGCUUCCUGGACCGACACUGACGCUGAGGCGCGAAAGCUAGGGGAGCAAACGGG